ACGGAAGGGGCGAGCGUUAUUCGGAAUUACUGGGUUUAAAGGGUGUGUAGGCGGCCCUGCAAGUCGGGUGUCAAAGUCCAGUGCUCAACGCUGGGUGUGCGCGCGAUACUGCCGGGCUUGAGGACUGACGAGGUGAGCGGAAUUCCCGGUGUAGUGGUGAAAUGCGUAGAGAUCACGAUGAACUCCAACGGCGCAGGCAGCUUACUAGACAGUUUCUGACGCUAAGAUUCGAAAGUGUGUGUAUCGAACAG
rnacentral:rRNA from 1 species